rnacentral:rRNA from 1 species
AUUGAACGCUGGCGGCAGGCUUAACACAUGCAAGUCGAGCGGAGAGAGGUAGCUUGCUACUGAUCUUAGCGGCGGACGGGUGAGUAAUGCUUAGGAAUCUGCCUAUUAGUGGGGGACAACAUUUCGAAAGGAAUGCUAAUACCGCAUACGUCCUACGGGAGAAAGCAGGGGAUCUUCGGACCUUGCGCUAAUAGAUGAGCCUAAGUCGGAUUAGCUAGUUGGUGGGGUAAAGGCCUACCAAGGCGACGAUCUGUAGCGGGUCUGAGAGGAUGAUCCGCCACACUGGGACUGAGACACGGCCCAGACUCCUACGGGAGGCAGCAGUGGGGAAUAUUGGACAAUGGGCGCAAGCCUGAUCCAGCCAUGCCGCGUGUGUGAAGAAGGCCUUAUGGUUGUAAAGCACUUUAAGCGAGGAGGAGGCUACUUAGUUAAUACCUGAGAUAAGUGGACGUUACUCGCAGAAUAAGCACCGGCUAACUCUGUGCCAGCCGCCGCCGAAA